rnacentral:ncRNA from 1 species
CUAGUCCGACUUUGCGAAAUGACUUGAGAGGUGUAGGAUAAGUGGGAGCUUCGGCGCUUGUGAAAUACCACUACUUUUAACGUUAUUUUACUUACUCCAUGAAUCGGAAGCGGGGCACUGCCCCUCCUUUUAGAUCCAAGGAUC